CUACUAAUCGGAAGUUGAGCAGAUGCAUCAUUCUCGAAACAAAAGACAGUAAAGAAUAAUCAUUGUGCGUCAGUUCCUCGUGGCGUUCGGUUUUCAAUUUGGUGUGUUCUGUUAUAAAACUCCCAGAAUGUUGGUGGGCUUGGCUCCACAUUCCAGAGCAGGUCAACAACAUUUGAGACCAAAAAAUUUGGACAAGGCGCGAAAAGCCCAAACUGUUUUAUGUGUCGGACGGGACACCCCGUAGAUUUCCAGCCACCCACACACACACAGACCAUGAAUAAUGGCUUUGGUCGUCGACGAUAUCCUCUCGCAGACAUUUGCGACUGCUCAGCAGCCACCCUACUGUGGCGGUGCGAGACCCUGUUUUAGGAUACGGCCAAUUAUAGAUUUGCUGGUGUCAUCCUGUUACCUCCGUGAUAAAAGAGCAACGUGAAUGUUCCUUCGAAUCUGGGCAAAACAAAAGAGAUGGAAUUCGUUUUUCUUUUGCUAUCGGUCCUCGUAGCCGCUUCUCAGCAACUCCAUCAGCAGCUAGGAUGUUAUUGGCAUACAUCUCGAUUUCCACUGCCGCGAGUGGUGGCGUCGAUACUUGAACUCGACGACUGUCACGAAAACGGUUGAUAUCGCAGGGCGAAGAAGAGUUACCCGUGAUUAGUAACCUGUGGAAACAAGUUCUAAUUCUUAGGUGCGAUACCAUUAAGGAAGACGGACAAUGUUCCCUUCCACGAAUCCAAAUCGUCGGAGGAGACUCCCUUAGCAGCCAAAAAUUCGAUCAAGAGGCGGCCGAAAUCCUGAAAAAAAUGCAAGUCCGCGAGGAAUUCCACGUUCCAUGUGGGUGUACCUCAUGUAGUUGAUGUUGCCCAAAAGUUGCAGUUUGUCACCCAUAGCCGAGAUCAUGGCGUCCAGACGAUCAGCGACGAGGGCCACUUGCUUAUUGAAGUCUCCGUUGCUUUUCAAUGAUUCGACAGGGACGUUAGCGAAUUUGGCGAAAUAUUUCUGGAUGCGAGGAGUCUCCUUGAAGAGGCUUUUCGUAGAUAAAGAUUCUGUGAUCAAUGACUCACUUGACGAAGAUGGAAGUGACCAUGGAAUUGCGGCCAGCACGCAUGUUUUCCCAGCUCCUUUGGACAUCGCGGAUUUGGUGAGGGCUCAGCUUAGUUUGAGGGUCGACCAAAUCUUCAGGGUAUGCUACUCACUUCAGAGUCUUAGAGACGCCCACGACCAGAGCGGUGAUUCCGUUCUUCCAGGCUUGUCUGGCCUCAUUGCUGAAAGUGUUUCCGAGCUCCUCUUCGAGCACUUGUUCAAGGAUGACACCGAAUUCCUUUUGUUUAGCGAAAGCAAAAAGAAAACAUUUCGGAAAUCAAAAUGGGGUAACUCCGCGAGGUUGAUGGGCACCACCGAGAGCGUUCAGCUGACCGGCCAUCAGCUCCUGGCUGGACAGGGACUGAAUGACGACGUUCAAACCGGCCAAGAUGGUGUAGGCCUGAGCCAGGAAGUUACCGUUGGUCAUCAUCUCGGCUUGGGGAACAUUGGCGAAUUUGCUGAACUUCUUCUGGUACUCUGGGUGAGCCUUGACGAAGCUAAAAUAACAAUCACGCUACGUCAGAUUUUCUAGCAGCGGAGAAAAUGAAAAGGACAAAUGACUCGUACCGGAAAAGAACCUUAGGAGCGACAUCACCGUCCCUCUUGGCCUGAUCCCAAGUCUUGCGGAUGAUGCUGCGGUCGCUAGAGCUGAGCAGGCCGGACUGGUUUUCAUCGUCCAUCGAGACGGUAGUAACGCUAGUAGUAACCGUGGUCACAGUUGUUCCGGGCUAUUAUGCCCAAUCCAAUAUGGCCAAUAAUUCUUAUAUGAGUAAGUACGAGAAAGAUGAUAAAAUAUUUUAAAUCUUACCGCUUGAGAGUAAGCGCUGACAAAAGCCACGAUGCUGAGGAGAAGAGUGAGCUUGAAAGAAGCCAUUGUUGCGUCGGAGUAUUAGCUCUGGAAAUCAGACAGCUAAAUGAUAUGCUCUUCGGUCCAUUUUCACUGCCUUUUAUACUUGUCCGGACUCGGAAGAUGGGCUGCUGAUGGAGCUGUUUGUCCCUGAUAAGUUGAAUGAGCCUACGUGAGCAUUUACAUGUCACUCGUUAAGGCUUUUGGGACACGUGCUGUUUACCACCGGAUAGAUUUUAAACUAGCCAGUUUACAAAAGUGUAACAUCCCUUAAUCGAAGCGUACGUGACAGCUGGGCACGUUUCUUUUUUUGGGGGUCGAGACCAAAUGACACUGAAGAAAUACUGCGCUAAUAAGCUGAUUGCCCUAUGUAUAGUCAGUUUUUAUAUUUUCGUUGACCUUUUUGCCUGGUCCACCAGUUGGCCGCGUUCAAAUGCCAUCUGACUUUGUGAUUUUCGCCAGAUGCGUCAAAAGAAUGUAGUCAACUAUUUAUUUAUUUGUUUUUAUCAGAUGAAAUGAUAGAAUUUCUAGAACACGAGAGAAGCAUAACUUUACGAAGUUGAUCUUAUUAAUACGAUGGCUUUAUUUUUUAUGAACGUCAACCACGUUCACCAUUUUUUUGGUAGCGCAAUGGCAAUCUAUGGCAGUUGAAACUGGAUUUUUAAAUUUUAGUUUUGCGUUACUUAACAAAUCAGUUGUGAUCGUGGCGAUGCAUUAUUCAGAAAACGUCUGAAAAGGGUUUCUCCUUGGCUGGUCACAGUUACCGUCAAGUACAAUGACUGAUCUCAGUUGAAUAAUGAUAUGUAAAUCGAUGUUAUGUUAAUCAAUUGCCUUCUAUAUUUUAAAUGUUUCUGUAGGCUUCUUGUUUUCUAGUCUGGGAUUGAGAUAGAAGAAUGGAUCUGCCGUGGUUUUGUGUUGGUUUCAAUGUCCCUCUUUAAUGUCAGCUGCGUAUCAUCAAAAAUUUGCUGAAGGGCCACACAUUUUUCUAGUAAGUCCUACGCUUUACCUGCAGAAUUGUUGGCUCAUUUAGGCCUUUGCGAUCCCGUUGUACUGAGUAACAAUUGACACAACUACUUUACAGUUCUUGAAAGAAAUUUAUAAGUAGUAGAAAAUAUACGCAGUUUAGUUUACUGUUGUAUGUCUAUUCGUACAAAGGAUGUCGGUAGAAUGGACUUUGGAAUGGUAGGGCAGUACGAAGGGCAAGGAAAUCUGAAUUGAGCAGGAAUUGAACUCUGGAGUGUCAGGUUACAUUUCAAAGGCCAUCACCGCUGUGUCAUGACCGAACAUCUGGAAAAAGUCUGCCUUUGAUAGUCACCUGUUUGAAAUCAGAGCGUAGGACUAGCCAUUCUAUUUUCUUAAGUCCCACUGUCCACGUGAAUAGGUAAUUACGACGACCACUGUAAUAAGUGGUACAGUACCCAAGUUUGGAUGGGAGAAGAAGAAGACCUUAUUAUGGAAUGAGAAUGAACUGGAAAAUAGUUCGAAGUCCGCGAUACUAGAACUUAUUAAAUCUCGCUUUUCAUAUUAGCGAGCAUGAUGUCGUGUAUGCUAAGUUGUAAUUAACGCCAUGGAUCUACUCAAUUAUUGGCAUAUUCAUUACCCAUAUUUAAACCAACAAUUUCUAUAUUUUGCCCAUUUAGAUAUGAGCUACCUUGAAAGGCUCGGGACACCAGGACUUGUUUUUUAUGUUUACUCAAAAGAAGAGUAGCCAAGGAAUAAUUACGGUUACAAAUCCAUGCUCGGUGUUCCCGUAAUACUUCGGUUGUCUUGCGAAGAAACUGCAUAUGACCAGGACCUGGCAGACCGGUCAUCGUCUGAUGUUAUCACGGCUAACCGCCUUAAAAUCAAACCACCUCUAAACGUUACAGGUUAACUAGGUUGGUGCGCCAGUACGUUACAGCGCUAGCGUGCUACAUUACAAUUAUUCAUUAUAUAAAAAAAAAAACACUGAUUUGACAAGGAAAUUAAUCAGUUACCCCAACUUGGCAUUUAAUUUUGAGUAUAAUUUGUGAUUUUCAUCAUAUUCUUAGAAAUAUCAUUAUUUGCAGAUUUUGACAAAAAUGGGAAGGCUAUGGGAAUCCUUCCUACUUUUCCAAUUUUUGCUAAAAUCAAGAAUGCGUUUAAAGCACGUGAAUUCGAUUCAAAAUUGAACGUGAAUCACGAAAAUUAAACUUGUUAUUGCAUCGGCUCAAUAUUUUUUGAAAUAAUCAUUGAAAACAGAAGAACUAAAUUGUCUCGCUAAGAAUAAUUUUGUUACAAUUAUUUUUAAAAUGACUUUUCUUAUGAGAAAACUAUUAGUAUUUUCGGAAUUAGCGUUCAAUUUUGAUUAUUAUAUGUAACUUCCAUUAAAUUCUAUGAGAUGUCGCUUUUUGCGGAUUUCGACAAAAGUGAGAAGGGACUUACCAUUUUUGCACUCAACGGCUCAACAUACAAGUAGAGUGUCAAUUUGGGACUGGUUUUGUCAUCUGUUGGUCGAGGUGGAAAAACAGGGAUUGGAUCAACAAUUUUAUUCCCACACUUACCUUUGGAAUUGUUGGAUCGUAGCUGUUGUUGCAGGACACUCCUUGUUUGGGACUUGAUUUGUCACCAUUUGUUGAUUUGUGAAAACAGGGAUUGGACCAACCAUUUUAUUCCCACACUUAUCAUUGGAAGUCUGGCAUGGUAGCUGUUGUUGCAGGACACUCCUUGGUUCGUUAGUGAAGUUUCAGAAAGCAGCAUUCCAAGAGCAAGAAUCUAAUUUACAGGCUAUUAACACAAUCUAGAAUGUUUAACUUUGUUUUCCUGCUUCGAUGGUGAAAUUGAAUUAUAUUGGAAUUUAAAAGUU